rnacentral:tRNA from 1 species
GUUUUUGUAGUUGAAUACAGCGGUAGUUUUUCAGACUACAGGUCUAGGUUAAAAUCCUGGCAGAAAUA